GCCGAGGUAGCCUAGCCUGGCCAAGGCGGUUGCCUCGAAAGCAACUGUCCACACGGACUCGUGAGUUCGAAUCUCACCCUCGGCGC
rnacentral:tRNA from 1 species